rnacentral:other from 1 species
UGCUUCCUGUUGUGUUCGAUAUGCAGCGGGUACCUUCGAUCCUAAAUAUACGCUUCGGGGUUAUUCACUUUGUGAUCAUGUGUGCAAAACUAAUUUUAGGCUGCCUGUUGUGAUCUCGGUUUACCCCACUUGAAUCUCCGGUUCGAGAGCGAUGUUGUAUAACGGCAUGAACGGGAAGCAC